CGGAAGGCAGAGGUUGCAGUGAGCCAAGAUUGCACCAUUGCACUCCAGCCUAGGCAAUAUGAGCUAAACUGUGUCUCUAAAAAUAAAAAAGAAGAUAUUACCUGAUUUUUUUUUUUUUGAGAUGGAUUUUCACUCUUGUUGCCUGGGCUGGAGUGCAAUGGUGCAAUCUUGGCUCACUGCAACCUCUGCCUUCCG
rnacentral:pre_miRNA from 1 species